rnacentral:rRNA from 1 species
AGCGAACGCUGGCGGCAGGCCUAACACAUGCAAGUCGAACGAACCCUUCGGGGUUAGUGGCGGACGGGUGAGUAACACGUGGGAACAUGCCUUUAGGUUCGGAAUAACUCAGGGAAACUUGUGCUAAUACCGAAUGUGCCCUUCGGGGGAAAGAUUUAUCGCCUUUAGAGCGGCCCGCGUCUGAUUAGCUAGUUGGUGAGGUAAAGGCUCACCAAGGCUACGAUCAGUAGCUGGUCUGCGAGGAUGACCAGCCACAUUGGGACUGAGACACGGCCCAAACUCCUACGGGAGGCAGCAGUGGGAAAUCUUGCGCAAUGGGCGAAAGCCUGACGCAGCCAUGCCGCGUGGAUGAUGAAGGUCUUAGGAUUGUAAAAUCCUUUCACCGGUGAAGAUAAUGACUGUAGCCGGAGAAGAAGCCCCGGCUAACUUCGUGCCAGCCGCCGCGGUAAAAC